rnacentral:rRNA from 1 species
CCUACGGGAGGCAGCAGUAGGGAAUAUUGCUCAAUGGGGGAAACCCUGACGCAGCAACGCCGCGUGGAGGAUGAAGGUUUUCGGAUUGUAAACUCCUUUUGUUAGAGAAGAAAAUGACGGUAUUUAACGAAUAAGAACCGGCUAACUCCGUGCCAGCAGCCGCGGUAAUACGGAGGGUGCAAGCGUUACUCGGAAUCACUGGGCGUAAAGAGGGCGUAGGCGGGCUAGCAAGUCAGAUGUGAAAUCCUAUGGCUUAACCACAGAACUGCAUUUGAAACUGUUGUUCUAGAGUAUGGGAGAGGUAGGUGGAAUUCUUGGUGUAGGGGUAAAAUCCGUAGAGAUCAAGAGGAAUACUCAUUGCGAAGGCGACCUGCUGGAACAUAACUGACGCUGAUGCGCGAAAGCGUGGGGAGCAAACAGGAUUAGAUACCCUUGUAGUC